GAUGCAAGCUCGAGGCUUCUUGAUCCUAUGUGUUGUAUUGAGUGUUGGUCACUGGUCUUUGGGAAGCUUGGACAGAAGUGGGGCAGCCAUGGAGCUGCUGACUGGGACUGGCCUGUGGCCCGUGGUCAUAGUCACAGUCAUCUUCAUAUUACUGGUGGACAUGUUGCACCGGUGCCAGCGCUGGACUUCUUGCUGCCCACCAGACCCUGUGCCAUGGCCUGUGCUGGGUAACCUGCUGCAGGUGGACCUGGAUAACAUGCCAUAUAACUUGUACAAGCUUCACAACCGCUAUGGUGACGUGUUCAGCCUGCAGAUGGGCUGGAACCACAUGGCCGUGAUCAACGGACUGAAGGUGUGGUCCUUGCUCCUUAUGGGCCUGAGUGGAAAGAGCAGAGGUGAUUCUCUGCGUCGACCCUGUGCAACUUCAGCCUGGGCAAGAAAUCACUGGAGCAGUGGGUGAUGGAAGAGGUUGGACACCUCUUUGAUGUCUUCACUGCCCAUGCUGGGAGUCCCCUCAAUCCUUACCCUCUCUUGGACAAAGCCGUGUGCAAUGUGAUUGUGUCUCUCAUUUAUGCCCAUCGCUUCGAGUAUGGAGACCCUGACUUCAUCAAGAUGCUAAAAAGGAGGCUGUAGACAAGAGAUUUGGAAAGAACACAUCUAGAAGUGUCCACCACAGUAAUAGGAGCCUGGAGAUUGACAUACAGCAAAAGGAAGUGAGAAGCUGACCAAGGUCAGGGCUUCUAGAAGCUGAGACCCUGGCCCUCUGCCCACAUGGAACAUCUGUGAGAUUUUCCAGGGUUGGCUGACAAAGUCUUCCCUGGGCAAAAGACAUUUCUCAUAAUGGUGGAUAAGCUGGUGACUGAGCACAAGAGGACCUGGAACUCGGACCAGCCGCCUCGAGACCUGACUGAUGCCUUUAUGGCUGAGAUGGAGAAGGCAAAGGGAAACCCUGAGAGUAGCUUCAAUGAUGCAAAUCUAUGUCUGGUUGUCCUUGACCUGCUGGGUGCUGCAACUGUGACCACCUCAACCACACUGUCCUGGGCCCUGCUGCUUAUGAUCCUGCAUCCGGAUGUGCAGUGCCAAGUACAACAGGAAAUCGAUGAGGUCAUUUGGUAUGUGUGGCUUCCAGAGAUGGCAGACCAGGUCUGCAUGCCCUUCACCAAUGCUGUCAUUCAUGAGGGCAUGACUCUCAUCUCCAACCUGUUCCGUGCUGAAGGAUGAGACUGUCUGGGAGAAGCCCCUUCGCUUCCAUCCUGAACACUUCCUGGAUGCCCAGGGCCACUUUGUGAAGCCUGAGGCCUUCAUGCCAUUCUCAGCAGGCCACAGAUCAUGCCUGGGGGAGCCCCUGGCCCUCAUGGAGCUCUUCCUCUUCUUCACCUGCCUCCUGCAGCGCUUUAGCUUCUCAAUGCCAGCUGGACAAUCCCUUCCCAGUGAUUAUGGCAUCUAUACAAUGCCAGUUACUCCAGCACCUACCAGCUCUGUGCAGUGGUUUGCUAGCAGGGGCAGUGGCUCCAGCCAUCAUCACAGAUUGUUCUGACUGAUGUCCAAUAAACAAGUUUUGUGUCU
rnacentral:lncRNA from 1 species